CCUGCACAUAAUUCACAAUCACUUUCUGCAAACUCCAAGAAAAAACAGAGAGCCGAGAGGAAGGAAGAGAAGUAGAAGAGCUCUUGUUUCCAAUACCAACCAUCCACGGCAGAAAUCGAGAGUUCAAAGGGGCUGGUUAAUUCACUUCCAAUAAGCAUCCCAAAUCAUAGAGAUGAGUCUGCCAAGUCCAAGGAAACUACUCCUCUCAGUCUCAAAAUUUCACAAUUCAAUAUCGUGUUUUAAGGUUAUCUCCGCAAGUUAAGGUCGGAACGAGAAAAUCAAGUUAAGGAAAUUAAACGAACGAGGUUGAGCAGUGACGGUGGAGAAUGCUGAGCAGAGUUAUGAUUUUCCUUUUAUUUUAAGUAGAGGCUCUCGGCGGUGCAUGUCCCCAUACAUGUGACCGUGUUCGUUCCGUUGCGUACUAAGGUUCUAGAUGACAUCGACUGUUACUCUGAUAAUUAUUUAUUAAAAUGUAAGAUUUUCAUUCAAGUUCUAGUGAUUAAAAGUUGGUUUGAACCUGUUUUCCCCCUUA